GACGAACGCUGGCGGCGUGCUUAACACAUGCAAGUCGAACGGAAAGGCCCUGCUUUUGUGGGGUGCUCGAGUGGCGAACGGGUGAGUAACACGUGAGUAACCUGCCCUUGACUUUGGGAUAACUUCAGGAAACUGGGGCUAAUACCGGAUAGGAGCUCCUGCUGCAUGGUGGGGGUUGGAAAGUUUCGGCGGUUGGGGAUGGACUCGCGGCUUAUCAGCUUGUUGGUGGGGUAGUGGCUUACCAAGGCUUUGACGGGUAGCCGGCCUGAGAGGGUGACCGGCCACAUUGGUACUGAGAUACGGCCCAGACUCCUACGGGAGGCAGCAGUGGGGAAUAUUGCACAAUGGGCGGAAGCCUGAUGCAGCAACGCCGCGUGCGUGAUGACGGCCUUCGGGUUGUAAACCGCUUUCGCCUGUGACGAAGCGUGAGUGACGGUAAUGGGUAAAGAAGCACCGGCUAACUACGUG
rnacentral:rRNA from 1 species